GAUGAACGCUGGCGGCGUGCCUAAUACAUGCAAGUCGAGCGAACGGACGAGAAGCUUGCUUCUCUGAUGUUAGCGGCGGACGGGUGAGUAACACGUGGAUAACCUACCUAUAAGACUGGGAUAACUUCGGGAAACCGUAGCUAAUACCGGAUAAUAUUUUGAACCGCAUGGUUCAAAAGUGAAGGACGGUCUUGCUGUCACUUAUAGAUGGAUCCGCGCUGCAUUAGCUAGUUGGUAAGGUAACGGCUUACCAAGGCAACGAUGCAUAGCCGACCUGAGAGGGUGAUCGGCCACACUGGAACUGAGACACGGUCCAGACUCCUACGGGAGGCAGCAGUAGGGAAUCUUCCGCAAUGGGCGAAAGCCUGACGGAGCAACGCCGCGUGAGUGAUGAAGGUCUUCGGAUCGUAAAACUCUGUUAUUAGGGAAGAACAUAUGUGUAAGUAACUGUGCACAUCUUGAGGGUACCUAAUCAGAAAGCCACGGCUAACUACGUG
rnacentral:rRNA from 1 species